AACAAAAUAUGUCAGAGAUAGUGGAAGACAUGGAAAGUGCGAUACAGCGAAAUGAUUUGAGACCAGCGAACUUUAGACUCGCCUACACGGAGGUGUGAAUAUUGAAAAUUAAAAAUUAUAAUAUUUAAUAAAUUACAACAAUGGCAAAGUUUAAAUUGUACUAUGAUUUAAUAUCACAACCAUCGCGCGCCUUAUGGAUUGCAUUGCAGUUGGGUAAGAUACCAUAUGAAGACUGUCCGGUGGCAUUGAGGAAGUCAGAACAAUUGAAACCGGAAUUCAAACAAAUAAACCGCUUUCAAAAAGUGCCGGCGCUCGUAGAUGGCGACUUUCAUCUUAGUGAGAGCAUAGCGAUGGUUAGAUACCUCGCCGAUAAAGGGCAAUUCAGCGAGCUACUCUAUCCGAAAGCAUUGCAGCACCGUGCGCGCGUUGAUGAAUUUCUCGAAUGGCAACAUUUGAGUGUACGUUUGGGUUGCACAAUAUAUUUUCGUGAUAUGUGGCUAUUUCCCAUUAACGGUAUAAAACCGAAACCCAGCGCCGAAAGAGCGGCUGUCUUAUGUAAAAAUAUGGAAACGCAGUUAAAGAUUUUGGAGGAGAUUUGGUUGAAGGAUACCAAAUUUUUGGUGGACAAUGAAAUGACUGUGGCCGAUCUAUUUGGUGCUUGUGAAGUGGAACAAACGAGACUGGUGCAAUAUGAUGUUGGCAAGAAAUUUCCAAAAAUCGCCGAGUGGCUGCAACAUGUACGAGAGCAAGCCAAUCCACAUUAUGAUGCCGCACAUAAAGUUAUAUAUAAAAAGUCUGGCACAAAACCAGCAGCAUAAAAUCCACCGAAAGUUUAGAAAAAUCUUCAAUCCACAUUUAGCUUUCGGAAUGAGCCAUCUAUUCCAAAUCGCUCUUCAACAUUGGAGGCACCGUCCAAGCGCAACUUUUCAUCGACACCAUAAUUGACUUCAUCCAAUAAAUAUUCACGAUAAUCCAAAACUAACUGCUCGGUGCUUGCAACAAUUUCCUCAAUACUACCAUUUUCACCGCCGUAAUCCUUUGGCAGACACUUGAUGGGUACAGCUUCGCAGAGCGACUCGAAUGUGCUGUGCACGUGCAGCUGUGAUUUAUAGAAAGCACUAAUUUAACGGUGGCAAACAAUUUCUCAAAUAUCACACCUGUAUUAAAGAAAUGCGAAUUCUUAAUACGCAUCGGCAUACCCUCCUCGACGUACAGACCGAAGCGUUUCAUCAAGGUCGGACUAAACUGUAGCAAAUGCGCCAUGCUGAAGUCCGCAAAAUCGCCAAUUUGCAUAAAACCACCAAUGAUCAUAUUGUCAUUGCUGAUCAGAGAGAUGUCCUGUA